rnacentral:rRNA from 1 species
GAUGAACGCUAGCGGCAGGCCUAACACAUGCAAGUCGAGGGAGAGGUUAUCUUCGGGUAACCAAAACCGGCGCACGGGUGCGUAACGCGUAUACAAUCUGCCUUUCACAUAGGGAUAGCCCGAAGAAAUUUGGAUUAAUACCUAAUGGUAUAUAGGAGCGGCAUCGUUUUUAUAUUAAAGCUACGGUGGUGAAAGAUGAGUAUGCGUUCUAUUAGCUAGUUGGAGAGGUAACGGCUCCCCAAGGCGACGAUAGAUAGGGGUUCUGAGAGGGAUGUCCCCCACACUGGUACUGAGAUACGGACCAGACUCCUACGGGAGGCAGCAGUGAGGAAUAUUGGACAAUGGUCGGAAGACUGAUCCAGCCAUGCCGCGUGCAGGAUGAAGGUCCUAUGGAUUGUAAACUGCUUUUGUAAGGGAAGAAUAAGGAGUACGUGUACUUUGAUGACGGUACCUUACGAAUAAGCAUCGGCUAACUCCGUGCCAGCAGCCGCGGUAAUACGGAGGAUGCGAGCGUUAUCCGGAAUCAUUGGGUUUAAAGGGUCCGUAGGCGGGCUGAUAAGUCAGAGGUGAAAGCGCUUAGCUCAACUAAGCAACUGCCUUUGAAACUGUUAGUCUUGAAUGAUUGUGAAGUAGUUGGAAUGUGUAGUGUAGCGGUGAAAUGCUUAGAUAUUACACAGAACACCGAUAGCGAAGGCAUAUUACUAACAAUUUAUUGACGCUGAUGGACGAAAGCGUGGGGAGCGAACAGG